GGCCUACUUGUGAGGACCGGCACGCCCCUUUGGAGAAGGAGGCACCCACAUAAAAAUAAAUCAGUAUCAGCAGAAGUGCAUGCUUUAACUUCCCGUCACUAUUACUAAAAGUUAUACUUUAAGCUCUCUCCAAAGCCUCUCAAACCGUAUGGAUGAGUUUCACUUGUUGGGAGUAUUCUACAUAUGGAGUACACUUGGAAUCAUACGAUUGUAUUUAGUUGAGCCUUUCUUUUAGUUGGAUAAGAUAUGUUUCACUGCCGUUUCCGUCCUGCAUGGCUCUUCAAACCGGAGGUGUCCCACCGAAUACGUCAUGUGAUCAUACGAGUCCUCUACAAAUAAGCUGUAAGAAGAAGCAGCAGAUACCAUCGCCUCUCACACCUCUUUAUUCUUAUGAAUUCAAGGCACAGAAGCUAUUUCUCAUCAUCCGACUCUUUCAUUUUUUCUUUCCAGCCGUAGAGUUGUCUUGAGCCAAACUCAUAUGGACCCAUUGAAUCACACCUAUCUAAUAAAUCCACCUCACAAAGGAUUUGAAAAUCGCCGGACCGUAUCAAAGCAAAAUGACAUGCUUCGUAGUGUACCGGUCUGGAGAGAGUUCAGCUGCGAGCCGCGUUACAAAUAAAGACAUUCUGGACAGAAAACCGAAACAAAAAACGUCUGAAUUGAAUUAACUGAGCUGAAUAGAUGAAAUCAAUUUAAAAAUGUUCUUUCAUUAAGCACCUCCUAUCAAUAACCUUAUGGUUCACAUGUUAUGGCGCAACACUUUAAUGGAUCAUUUAUUUCAUAUGGAUUUAUCCAAUAUUGGACGCGGUUAGGGUUUUAUGAGUAAAUACGGACAUCAAGCAGCGCCACACGGUCCAUUAUCUAAAUGGUUUAAUUGAUGUGAGCGUACGACUGGCUGAGUUCCACCCAGUAACCCCUCAGUGCCUGGCAGGGGAGAAACACAUUGUCAUCCAGGCACUCGACUCGGAUCUUCCUCUGAGGUUUCAUCGUCCUCCAUAUGAAGGAGAGAGAGAGAGCGACUGAGGACUUUAAAGCAAAGGCACUGUUCUCUGUUUGCCACCAGCAGCAGUCUGCAUCUCCCGGCACCCAGAGACAGCAUUAAGGUGGACUCCUUCCUUUGUGUUUCACACACAGUGAUGGCUGCCAGGACUCACAGCCACUGAUUGGCAAAGAGGGAGGAACCUUUUCAUGUGUGUGUGUGUGUGUGUGUGUGUGUGGGAGGGGGGGAGGGAGGGGGGGCUCCCUUUUGACUUGACUCUGGUGGGAGAUGCUGCGACUGAGCUGCCUACAAAGCUGAGGGUGGAGAAAAGAAGAAGAAGAAGAAGAAGGAAAAAACACAGAAAAACAAAAGGGACAAAAGUAAACCGUUUGACUCCGGGGGACAAACUGGGAUACCAGGUGUUAAAUAAUCUUCUCAUAACCUGCUUAGCUUUCUCAAAAUAACCCAAUUUGGACGGUGCUAUAUGGCACCAGGAAAUCAGCCUCCCCCUGGGCUCUGCAGGCAAAUUAGUGGGACACUUGUACCCGCAUGGCAAUGCUAACAGGGAUGCUGCUCAGCAUUCACAGCGAGGGGAACACAUUAAACAAGGUUACAUUUGUGACUUUGGUACCAACACCAGAUUCCACACACUGACACAGCUUCCUUCAUAACAAGGGACAUUUUCUUAACUGCCCUUUUGUUCUAAUAUAUAUAUAUAUACACACAAAUUAUUCUCAUUAUCAAUCGCUUUGGGGAAGAUUCAAAUUCUAUGCACGCACAUGCUACAAAUUAGGCUCACAAUGUUACCAUUCCGUGCAUGUGAUGAUUAGCAGCAAUCAUGAAUGUUUGUGGUACGGCCUGAAAAUAAAAUCUUGUUCCAUCUGUUUUUGUUUCCUCUUGAAAACAGACAAAGCAUAUGAAAUAUAAAAAAUAGAAAUAAGAGAAUGAGAUUGUCCCUGAAGAACGUGUCCUCCCUCUCGGCUGCGCGCAGUGUUUGAGAUGCUGGGGAGGCUUUUUUCUCUCAGACUUCAGACAAGCGUUACAGCGGACAGUGUUUGCUUCACGUUGCCGAGGAGACGGUGCCUUUUUCGAGGAAAGAAUUCCACAGUUUGAUUAUCAUGCUGCCAUGUUGAAUUGUCUUCCAGUGUCUUAAGCCGUCUGAACAGAACUGGCACGUAAACAAGCUACUCGGCCGAAGGGACGCGGAGGUGAAAACACAGUGAUGUUGUUGACAUGUUUCAUUUUUAACCAUGAAUUCCAGUAAAUAGAUAAAAAUCGAUUUAUUUAUUGUUACCAUGUAAACAAUUGCGUAAAAAGCCUUGAGGACGUCUUCUACAAGCACUGGGAUCAAAAUACAGACGUUUUUCCUGUACGGACACGUAACAGGGACCUAUAGUUAGGGUAGGUAUGACAUGGUAUGGUAGUUAUGAUACAGUAUGGUAGUUAUGACAUGAUAUGGUAGUUAUGAUACAGUAUGGUAGUUACGGUAGUUAUGAUAAGGUAGUUAUGAUCUGUAUGAUAGUUAUGGUAGUUAUGAUAUGGUAGUUAUGAUACAGUAUUUGUUAUGGAAGUUAUGAUAUGGUAGUUAUGAUAGGUAUGAUAGUUAUGGUAGUUAUGAUACAAUAUGGUAGUUAUGACACAUAUGGUAGUUAUGAUAUGGUAUGGUAGUUAUGAUACAGUAUUGUAGUUCUGGCAGUUAUUAUAUGGUAGUUAUGAUACGGUAUGCUAGUUAUGGUAGUUAUGAUAUGGUAGUUAUGAUACGGUAUGAUAGUUAUGGUAGUUAUGAUAUGGUAGUUAUGAUACGUUAUGAUACGUAUGCUAGUUAUGAUACAAUAUGGUAGUUAUGAUACGGUAUGCUAGUUAUGGUAGUUAUGAUACAGUAUAGUAGUUAUUAUACGGUAUGGUAGUUAUGAUAUGUAUGGUAGUUGUGGUAGUUAUGAUACGGCAUGGUAGUUGUGGUAGUUAUGAUACGGCAUGGUAGUUGUGGUAGUUAUGAUACGGCAUGGUAGUUGUGGUAGUUACAGUAUGAUACGGUAUGGUAGUUGUGGUAGUUACAGUAUGAUACGGUAUGGUAGUUGUGGUAGUUACAGCAUGAUACGGCAUGGUAGUUGUGGUAGUUAUGAUACGUUAUGGUAGUUGUGGUAGUUACAGCAUGAUACGGCAUGGUAGUUGUGGUAGUUACAGCAUGAUACGGCAUGGUAGUUGUGGUAGUUAUGAUACGGUACGGUAGUUGUGGUAGUUAUGAUACGGCAUGGCAGUUGUGGUAGUUAUGAUACGGCAUGGUAGUUGUGGUAGUUAUGAUACGGCAUGGUAGUUGUGGUAGUUAUGAUACGGCAUGGUAGUUGUGGCAGGUCCUGCCUGCUUUAUGGGGACAUUAAUAUUGCAGCUCAUAUGUUUUGCUGCAGGUGAGCAGGGAGGUGAAGAGGCACUGACCCACUUCAAUAAUGAGGUACAAUGAGAUCCAAUCCGAAAGCCAGCGAGGGAAGUCUAUAUUUUAUUCAUAUGGAUAUUAACACUGGGGAGGGGGAGAAGACACUGAUUAAUAUCAAUAUCUUGACAAAAGGAAGUGUCUCUAAAACGGCCGGCUAAUUUGUGCUCUGCAGAAACACUUUUAUGAAAAAGACAAAAAGCUGGGUGAUUAAUUUGGGCUCGUAGGGCCAAAACCCCCCACAACCCACACACACACACACAGACACACACAUUCACACUGCUUCAUUCCUCCCCAAAAGUGGUACCGGUGUUUAGAGCUACACUAGUUGAGCACAGGGGAGGUUCAGCUGCGGAAUGCACCAGAGUUAUGAUGGCGGGAGCCCACGCACUCUGUAAGGUUCCCCCGUAGAUGCAGUUAAUGGAUGCACACAAUGAGCCUCAAUGGCCCUGCGAUGAUGGAUGUGGGCCACUGUGUGAAAGGCUCCACAGACAAACCAGCCAGGACAACUUAGAAAAGUGGUAGGAGAGCAAGAGGAGGGGAGCGUACACUGCAGAAAUGUUGCCAGGGAACAUUUGGAGAAAUAUAAUUGCGGUGCAGUAUUCCUGAGCGGGGUUUUAAUUGCGCAGAGAGGGAAACAGAUUGGCUGAGAAUCUUGCUGAGGAACCCAGAAGUGUCUGAGCUGGAAAUGAGCUUGAAUGCAUGUGUGUCACAUAAUGGUGUGGGACAAUGAAUAGAUUUAAUUUCACUUUUUUUCUGGCCAAAACAGUCUCAAUUAACAAUAUUAUCUAGACAAUACAUUAUUUAUUUAAAAAAAAGUCAAAUAAUUUACAUUUCGUUAAAAAACGAAUACUUAAAUUCAUCAGAGAGAAGUUAAUAAAGAGUCUCUAAUACAUGAUCAUAAAUCAUAAGGUCAUAAGGAUGAAGUAGAUUUUUAAAUAAUUAUUCCUUUAAUUAUAAAAACAGUCUAUUAUUUCCAUCCCUCUACCAUAAUAACAAAGUCACUCGUCUGACAAUAUUUAAAAUGAUUUCAUUCAAGGAAAAAAUCUUUUCUUGACCCAGAAUUAAAACCUGUAUCGUCUCUAAUAUACAAAUACAAAUUUGUACAAAAUAGACAAAAGAAUCAAGAAUAUAAAUAUAAAAUAUUAAGAUCAGACGAACAAGCAUGUUUACUAUGGACAUAGUUCUGUUGAAACAGAUAAAAGGAACAAACUAACAUUCACUGAAUAAUCCUUGAGAAGAAGACCUGAUGUUAUGUCUUGAUUUCCUGUUGUGUCUGAGUGCAUAACAAUGAGACUUGCAUUCACGCUUUCAUAUUGUUCAUGUUUUAACACUUGAGUGUGGGUGUCUUCUUUUAGCGUUGGAGCUAUAAAGGUCAUCUCAACUAGCACUCAAAUAUUCCUCUACAUACAGUGUACUGAACCAUGACCUCAACAGUUUUUAUUUCUAGUUGCUUUUUUAUUGUAAUUAAAAAAUAUGUAAAUAAGUAAUAAGUAAAUGUCACGAAUUUUUUGACUUUUAACCCCCAAAUAGUUCCUACUUAUCGGCUUAAUCCAUAAUGUACUUUGUUUUACUUUGUUUUCUCAUAAAUUUAAACCAUGUUUUGAGUUUCUCAACGGACUGCAAGAGCACCAAAGUCCCAUUUGGCCGUUGACCUUCACAAAACCACACAGUCACGCCCUAAUUGGCGCCGGUGCAAAACUCACCAGCCAAACCUGCUCCGCGCCUCGUGGAACAAUCAGAAGAGCCCCGGCCUGCUGCAGUAACAGCGAAUACGGCCAACGCCGUACCGCGGUAGUGAGCAUUAUCUACGGCGCCACUUGGCCGACUGCGUCUCGCCCACAGCGAAUCACCCCAUUACGGUUUUCUUUUUCCUCCUUAUACUUGGCCUGCCCCCAUCAGCACCUCGUCCCGAGGGGCAGCCAUUAGGCCCAAAGCAGGAGCCUCCACUCAGGGUCUGAUGGAUGUGCCUGGUGGGUGCGCUCGUCGCAUUGGGGGGGCGGGGGUGCGGACCCUACACCGACGGAGGUGAUUAUGCACAGUGGGCCCAUUGUGAACGUUCUGCAGUGGGAGGGCGCAGGCUGCUGCAUUGCCGGUGUGAUUGCGGUGCGUCGGAGAUGACCGGGGGGGGGGCUCUCGCCCUCUGACCUCUGCUCCGAUGUUUACCGCUUCCUGUCGUCACACACCAGGUAACAGCAGAAGUGUGGGGGGGGCAUAAAAGGGCGGCCGAUCGGUUUCCUCCGCGGUCGCAGCCAUCCCGAAGCCAUCGCUUGACACCGUGGUCCGCUAGUUAUGAUGAAUGGUAUGAAGCCGCACCCCACAUUCCGUCUGCUGAACUGCAGUGUCAGAGGAACUUUGUGUUUCGCUGCAGUGGCCUCGUCCUGCCCUUCUCCCGUAUCGUGUUCUGUUCCAAUGAGCAGCUCCGCUCGGGCCUGUCACUACUCCCCUUUCUUUCCCAGACCGGAGCCUGGUCACAUGGAGGAAAAGGGGGAGGGAGGAUUCAACAAUGGGCUCCAUAUAACCAAGAAAACUAGUAUUUACUGCAAGCGAUGCUCAAAAAGUGCGAUUCAAGACAGAAUGAAUGUGCCAGUUGGACGGCGGCUAAUCACACAUUUGUCAAAAGGGGCUUUUUUUCGCGCCGUGAAUCUGUUUUGGCUCCGGCUCGUGACGCCUGUCAAGGCGCUGAACACGUGUUGUGUCUCGAGCGCCCCGCCGAACGUUACAUAAACACAGAUAAAUAGGGCGUAGCAGGAACAGCAUACAGCGAUGCUUCCCCGGGGAUUGUCAUUUAUCGUUGGUUGUUUUUGAUUGUUUAAAGCGCGAGCAUGUGAGGCAUGUGUCUCAUAUUCUCUUAUCUGCUCGGCAUUCGUUGCAUUUGGAGAUGACAGGCUAAACAAACACCGCAUUCGCCUUUUCCAAAUCAUAACUGGUCCCACAUGGCCCCGCAAUGAUAAGUGGGUGUUUUCUAAUCGGGUUAAGUAAACCCGGGCAGCGAUCCGCUCCCUCCUGGAGGCGUUCUCCUUCUCCGUGUCAUCGCGCCGGACCUCUCUAAGCCCAGUUCACGGUCUCACUCGUCUGAGACGAAUACCAAAGCUCGGUGCAUCCGAUAAUGAAACAGCAGUGACGGGAGAAGAAGGUCACAUUGACUCCACGGCUAAUCUCCAUCCUCUCCAGUCAAGCACACACGGUGACAGACAAAUGAGCUGCUCUCAGAUGCAUUAACACCACAAACAAAUCCGCCAUUCUGCAUCCAGUUGCAAUGCCCAGGCGACGGCGUCUCCCCUUGGCGUCCCGCAGGGCGAUCUCUCCGUCAGCCGCGUGACGCGGGGCCUGAUGAUGACUCUAUCACAGGUGACAGUGACAAGCAGGUCCCUCAUCACACCUCAUGUACAAGUGAUGUCAGAACAGCUGCGCGCUUCAAAAGAAAAGCCCGCGUGUCCUCAUUUGUUGCUUUCCGCCACUUCAUCAUCCGGACACAAUGACACCAGGUAGCCGAGGCGGAUACUGUGAAAGUCACUAAAGAGGAGGCAUUGUUUCAUUUGAGAUGAAAAUAUAUUAUCUCCUCGUCUUAAGGGGCCGAGAGAAGCCACCUGCCAGAACCCCCCCCAAAAAAACAAUCUUUAAAUAUAAAUAAAGCUAAAGCUUACAGAUCACCACGCGAAAAAGAAAAGCAUCACAUCACACACAAUCAUUAAAAAACACAAACAGCAUGUGUUUAUUGAGGAUCCACCUUCAGCAGCAGGCUAACACAGAAGCGCUAAGACGCGUGGCUAUGAUUGGCCGGGCUGCGUCGGAGAGGGCGGGACUUGGCAAAUGGUCAACUGGUAAUGUAACAGCAACACCUGAAGCUGAAGUGCAGGUCCACACACGUGUCGGCCAUACGUGAGCAUGGCUUUGAUAUUGUGCUGUUAUACCAGCAGGACGAUUUCCCUUCUUUCAUCUGCAGCUCAGUUGUUACAACUAGAUGGCACAAUAUAUGGCUGCUCAUAUUUAAAACGUUUGUCAUUUGCCCCAAAAUAAUAGUGUUUGUGUGUGUGUGUGUGUGUGUGUGUGCGCGUGUAGCAGGAAGGAUCUGGCACCGAGCACACGGCUGCUAUAACCGUCCCACUCUCACAGUUUGGAAGGUGCCAGAGAAGUCAAAGUGAUUCCAACACGCCAUGUGUUCCAAUUCUUCUCAAUUUAGUUAAAAGCGAAAGGGGUAAAAACGUGCGGACUGCACAUUAUCCUGUUGGUGUGUCUUUGCUCCACCCGGGACUUGUUCGGGUGGGGAAGCGUGUGCUCCACCCUCAGCUGAUCGUUCUGACGAUCCAGCCGGCGGCGUCUCUGCCGUGUGGCGUUGACCUCAUGCUUCUAGUUCCUGCAGAGACCCCCAGUAGGGACACACAUUCGUUCGCUUCACUUCUGUGGAGGCUAAAAGUUAUUCCUUUUAUUGGGUUGUUUUUUUUGCACCAGAGACCCUCAGCUUUCCCCUAUAAGACGUGCAUUCCUUGUUAGAUGUCCGUGUGACACAGAAGGUGGAGGACGUGUGCUCAGGUCUGUUAGGACGUAUCACAUUAGCAUUCCUAACUACUGCCAUCGCUUCAAUCAGCAGAGACAAGACGGAGAAAGACAGAUAAUUGUUCGUGAUUAAUAAAUGAUACGAUGAAGACAAAGUCUUCUUGGUCUCAGACUCUACAGGGAGGUUUGUAAUCGGUCUGCCCUGAGCAGCAGGAUGAAUCCCCCCCCCCCCCCCGUGGAGUCCGAACACUGGUGGAGCUGAAUGAUGAGCUGAUGAAGCUCGGGCGGAGAUGUGGAGGUGAAGUGACAGCAGCAAGGUGACAGGCUGGGGUCCCCCUGCCCCCCCACACACACACUAUAUUCAGCGGCAGAUCGCCGUGGUUAUUUUAAGCCAAAGGACCCAAACUUAUUCUUAAUAGGAUUUUGUUUUAUUGGGAAGAAGUUCUUUAUGAAAAAGAGUGGAAAUUGUCACGUGUCGCGGAAAAAUGAGGAUGUCACAUGAACCGUUAAGAAGAUACGUUGAAUACUCACAUGAUCAUGUAGGUUUCUGAUAAGAUGUAACCUUCUACAACCAGCCUUUUGUUUGUUACGGCAAUGAGAGAUACCAAGUCCCACUACCGUCCUGUGCGGGUUGUGGACGGAUGUCUCCUCCGAGGCGGCGUGGAACCGCUGAUGUGCUUUAAGGCUCACUAAUUAACACAUUAGCCUGCGAGCAUUCUAAUCUGAUGAGUGUGAAAUGUUCCUGGUUUCCCAGGAGGUUCUUUGCUCUAGAAUAAGUUUGCCCGGCGCAUUUUGUACGUACAAAGUCCCCUCAAACAGAGCUGUGCGCUCUCCAGUCGUACUGCUGAGCUUGAGUGACGGAC
ensembl:lncRNA